UUAUUAACUGGAGGAAGGUGGGGAUGACGUCAAAUCAUCAUGCCCCUUAUGACCUGGGCUACACACGUGCUACAAUGGACGGUACAACGAGUCGCGAAGUCGUGAGGCUAAGCUAAUCUCUUAAAGCCGUUCUCAGUUCGGAUUGUAGGCUGCAACUCGCCUACAUGAAGUUGGAAUCGCUAGUAAUCGCGGAUCAGCAUGCCGCGGUGAAUACGUUCCCGGGCCUUGUACACACCGCCCGUCACACCAUGAGAGUUUGUAACACCCAAAGCCGGUGAGAUAACCUUCGGGAGUCAGCCGUCUAAGGUGGGGCUACGACGUACCUGCGGAGGACACGUACUGCGGUCCCUAA
rnacentral:rRNA from 2 species